UGUUGUGUUCACAUAAAACAUAUUUGCAUCUUCAAAGUGGUAGACAUGUUGGUGUAAAUCCAAUUAUACAACCCCCCCCCCCCCCAUUUUUUUUUUUUUUUGUAUUCCAGGUUGACAAAGGCACAAAAAGGAAGAAAUGCCAAGGGGGGUGAAUACUUUCGCAAGCCAUUGUACGCUAACCCUGUUAAUCGGUCAGCAGAUCAGAUUUGUGGCAUACAGCCCGGGUCACACAGUGAUGUCAGAGCAACCACAUCAGCUACAGUCAGAGAGAUGGAGAGGUAAAGGAGAGUGGUACAGCAAGGAGCAGGACAUAAGGAGAAGAGGAGGUAGAUCGAUAGGGAGAGAUUUUAAUAGAAGUCAGGGAGAAGAAGGGAAGACGUAAGGAGUCAGUGGAGAGGUAAAGUGAUUGAGAGGAGCCUGAGGAUCUGUGGUGCCUGUCCCGUAACACACAAUGUCUGGGCAAGACGCAGUUUGGUAGAGCUUCACCCUUCUGUGUCUCCAGAGACUACAUGUCCCGUCAGCCCCGUAGCAGGUUGUCCAGACGAACCCUCCUACAGUAACCCUGAAGGGAAGACGCACACCUCCACCACAGAACCUACAGGACCUACCUCCACCACAGAACCUCCCACCUCCACCACAGACCCUAGCACUGCCCUCCUAGCCUCCCUAGAGGAGCUAGGGGAACGUAAAGAUCACUCCCACCUUCCUCAGUCCCUCCAUCAGAUAGCUGAGGCCUUUGUCCUCCAGGAAGAUUGUAUCCUUAUCACUUGUGUGUGUGCUUGUUUGACCGUGUGUGAGAGCGUAUGUGUGUGUCUGUAUGACGUGUGUGUUAUGCCCUUUAGGUCUAUGAAAAGUGUAUCCUUAUCAGUCAGCUCAUAUCUCUGUCUCUCUCUAGUAAAUGACAGGGUUCUCUGGUUCAUUCCAACUCUCAGGCUGUGCUGUGUUCCAGUUUAAACCUACCACAGGGUUCAAGCAUCUUAUCGUUGUGCUCUUUCUUUUGGUCAGACAGGAACACUAGAUGUUUUCUGUGCAGGGGCUUUCUACAGCAAAGCUGUGGGCUUAUACAGAGCGCCUCAGUGCCUAGAGAGACAGAGAGAGAGAGAGACCAGUCCUGUGUAAUAUAUGGAGCUCUCAGUACACUGCUCUAUGUAGGACAGAUUUAGAACCAACUGGAGACACGAUGGACCACAGGGAAAAGCCCAGUAGACAUACAUAGUUAUGUUCCUAUCACCCAUACAAAGCUAUUGGUUCAGAAGGAGAGAAAGAAAAUAUGUUUACAAGUUUGGAAUCCGUACCCUUCCUCGACACGCAGCCCAUGGAGUGUAGUGCAACUGGGGAACGCACUCAUUCAAGCACACACACAGCUAUGAUCCCUUAUUGAUGUCAGUGUAGAUGAAGGGGAGGAAACAGGUUAAAGAAAGAUGUUUAAGCCUUGAGACAGGUGUUGUGUGUGUGAGCCAUUCAAAGGGUGAACCAGCAGGACAAAAUAUUUACGUGUCUUUGAACAGGGUAUGGUAGUUGGUGCCAGGAGCACCAGUUUGUGUCAAGAACUGCAACGCUGCUGGGUUUUUCAUGUUCAACAGUUUCCCAUGUCUAUCAAGAAUGGUCCACCACCCAAAGGACAUCCAGCCAACUUGACACAACUGUGGAAAGCAUUGGAGUCAACAUGGGCCAACAUCCCUGUAUUCCUAAUGUUUAGUACACUCAGUAUAUCUACCAUUUUAAGGUGAUUCAUUGUCGUUAGCCUCCUAUCUUGAUAUCUCUUAGUGCUUGGUGAGUGCUGUGUUUGUUGCUGCUAAUCUCUUUAUAUUCUGUGGGGUCAUUCUCUAUCUACUCUCUCUCUCUCUCUCCUGAAAACCCCACCCUCCCUCUAGCUUUCCAUCUCUUUAGCUCGGCAAACUCUUUUUCCUCACCUUAAUUCUAAGUGUGCACUCGUUCCCUCCCCUUCAUGGAUUUAAAAGCCUUGUAGAGGUCCCCUGUCUAGUGUUUAAAAGCCUUGUCUGGUUUGUGUGGUUGACUCAAGUGGUUUGUUUGUCUCAUUGUUAUUUUGUAGGUCCCCUCCACCCUCACACAAGAUACACCUACUCUUCAUUCACUCAUCUUCUCAUUUGUAUUACAAAACAAUGACUGAAUUAUGUAGGCAGAUUAGUCAUAUUGUGUGUGUGUGUUUCCUUAACCCUGUGUUGACCAGAUGAGCGAGCAGUGUGCUGUGNCACUUUGAGAUAUCAGCUGAUGUACGAAGGGCUAUAUAAAUAAAUUUGAUUUGAUUUGAUUUGACCAUAAUUUUCACUUGUCUGACUGCUUGCAUCAUGACGAGUUUCUCACACAACUGGCCUGUCUGGGUGAUGUUUUUUCGUGCCUGAAUGAUCUGAAUCUAGGAUUACAGGGACUCUCCGCAACUAUAUUCAAUGUGCGGGACAAAAUUGAGGCUUUGAUUAAGAAGUUGGAGCUCUUUUCUGUCUGCAUUAACAAGGACAACACACAGGUCUUUCAUUGUAUGAGUUUUUGAACUCAAGUCUACGGACAGUGUCAAAUGUGAUAUAGCCUCCAGUCCACUUACCGAUAUCUGAACACGAGAGCCUAAUUGAAAUUGCAACAAGCGGUUCUGUGAAAAUUGAAUUUAAUCAGAAGCCACUGACAGAUUUCUGCAUAGGGCUGCACUCGGCUGCCUUGGCAAAUCGCGCUGUUAAGACACUGAUGCCCUUUGCAACCACGUACCUACUGUAUGUGAGAGUGGAUUCUUGGCCCUCACUAGCAUGAAACCUAAAUACAGUUACAGUCUGUUUGUGGAAAAUGAUUUAAGACUGAGACUCUCUCCAAUACAACCCAACAUUGCAGAGUUAUGUGCAUCCUUUCAAGCCACCCUUCCUCAUUAACCUGUGGUGAGUUAUUCACAAUUUUCGAUGAACAAAUAAGGAUUAAUAUGUAAGAUGGCUAAAUAAAGAACAAAAUUAUUGAUGAUUAUUAUAUUAUUAUUCGUGCCCUGGUCCUAUAAGAGCUCUUUGUCACUUCCUACGAGCCGGAUUGUGACAAAAACUCACACUCAUUCUCAUGUUUAAUAAAUGUAUCGUAUAGUGUGUGUGUGUGGCAGGCUUACAAUGAUGUCAAAAAACAACAUUUG
ensembl:lncRNA